rnacentral:rRNA from 1 species
AGCGAACGCUGGCGGCAGGCUUAACACAUGCAAGUCGAACGGGCUCUUCGGAGCUAGUGGCAGACGGGUGAGUAACGCGUGGGAACGUGCCUUUCGGUUCGGAAUAACUCAGGGAAACUUGAACUAAUACCGGAUACGCCCUUCGGGGGAAAGAUUUAUCGCCGAAAGAUCGGCCCGCGUCUGAUUAGCUAGUUGGUGAGGUAAUGGCUCACCAAGGCGACGAUCAGUAGCUGGUCUGAGAGGAUGAUCAGCCACAUUGGGACUGAGACACGGCCCAAACUCCUACGGGAGGCAGCAGUGGGGAAUAUUGGACAAUGGGCGCAAGCCUGAUCCAGCCGUGCCGCGUGAGUGAUGAAGGCCUUAGGGUUGUAAAGCUCUUUUGUCCGGGAAGAUAAUGACUGUACCGGAAGAAUAAGCCCCGGCUAACUUCGUGCCAGCAGCCGCCGCCGUAA